GGUUUUAACCCAGUUUAACCAAGGUUAGCUGUCGUUUCGAUCUCUCGAAAGAGUGUGUCGAAUAGAAACACCAAUUUUUGGAACCGCCUCUUCGGGGAUAUCCGUUGAGGCAAA
rfam:Caenorhabditis briggsae complete genome, chrIII